rnacentral:rRNA from 1 species
GUAUAAGCAAAUUGUACAGUGAAACUGCGAAUGGCUCAUUAAAUCAGUUAUCGUUUAUUUGAUAGUACCUAUAAUUACUUGGAUAACCGUGGUAAUUCUAGAGCUAAUACAUGCUAAAAACCCCAACUUCGGAAGGGGUGUAUUUAUUAGAUAAAAAACCAAUGCCCUUCGGGGCUUUUUGGUGAUUCAUGAUAACUUAACGGAUCGCAUGGCCUUGCGCCGGCGACGGUUCAUUCAAAUUUCUGCCCUAUCAACUUUCGAUGGUAAGGUAUUGGCUUACCAUGGUCUCAACGGGUAACGGGGAAUUAGGGUUCGAUUCCGGAGAGGGAGCCUGAGAAACGGCUACCACAUCCAAGGAAGGCAGCAGGCGCGCAAAUUACCCAAUCCCGACGCGGGGAGGUAGUGACAAUAAAUACUGAUACAGGGCUCUUUUGGGUCUUGUAAUUGGAAUGAGUACAAUUUAAACCCCUUAACGAGGAACAAUUGGAGGGCAAGUCUGGUGCCAGCAGCCGCGGUAAUUCCAGCUCCAAUAGCGUAUAUUAAAGUUGUUGCAGUUAAAAAGCUCGUAGUUGAACCUUGGGCCUGGCUGGCCGGUCCGCCUCACCGCGUGUACUGGUCCGGCCGGGCCUUUCCUUCUGGAGAGCCGCAUGCCCUUUGCUGGGUGUGUUGGGGAACCAGGACUUUUACUUUGAAAAAAUUAGAGUGUUCAAAGCAGGCCUUUGCUCGAAUACGUUAGCAUGGAAUAAUAGAAUAGGACGUACGGUUCUAUUUUGUUGGUUUCUAGGACCGUCGUAAUGAUUAAUAGGGAUAGUCGGGGGCAUCAGUAUUCAAUUGUCAGAGGUGAAAUUCUUGGAUUUAUUGAAGACUAACUACUGCGAAAGCAUUUGCCAAGGAUGUUUUCAUUAAUCAGUGAACGAAAGUUAGGGGAUCGAAGACGAUCAGAUACCGUCGUAGUCUUAACCGUAAACUAUGCCGACUAGGGAUCGGGCGAUGUUACUUUUUUGACUCGCUCGGCACCUUACGAGAAAUCAAAGUUUUUGGGUUCUG